CAGUUUGUCCCUGCUGCUCCAUUUCCUUCUCCAUCUGCUCUCCAUCUUUCGCUCAGCGCCAUCAUGCCAAGGCCCCUGAAGUCGUCUAUCACAAGGACAAAGCCCCAGGAGCCCACAGGCAGGCGAGUGAGAUCACAAGCAGACAGCUCUAAGUACAGAGGCUGACGCACUGAAGACCCAAUAAGGGAGCAAUGGAGACCCAUCUGCAGGAACCCGCCCUGACAAAAAAUAUGAUGAAUUCUAUUGGCAGGUGAGAACUGACAUACUUAAAGUUGUCCUCUUGUGACCCUAUCUCUCAAGAUGGAUGUUAAUACCAUCUCUUAACAGGGCCUAAGUGAUACUUAUUUGUGCUUCUCCAUUUUAUCAUACUUGCCCUCUGUAC